GAUGAACGCUGGCGGCGUGCCUAAUACAUGCAAGUCGAGCGAACAGACGAGGAGCUUGCUCCUCUGACGUUAGCGGCGGACGGGUGAGUAACACGUGGAUAACCUACCUAUAAGACUGGGAUAACUUCGGGAAACCGGAGCUAAUACCGGAUAAUAUAUUGAACCGCAUGGUUCAAUAGUGAAAGACGGUUUUGCUGUCACUUAUAGAUGGAUCCGCGCCGCAUUAGCUAGUUGGUAAGGUAACGGCUUACCAAGGCAACGAUGCGUAGCCGACCUGAGAGGGUGCUCGGCCACACUGGAACUGAGACGCGGUCCAGACUCCUACGGGAGGCAGCAGUAGGGAAUCUUCCGCAAUGGGCGAAAGCCUGACGGAGCAACGCCGCGUGAGUGAUGAAGGUCUUCGGAUCGUAAAACUCUGUUAUUAGGGAAGAACAAAUGUGUAAGUAACUAUGCACGUCUUGACGGUACCUAAUCAGAAAGCCACGGCUAACUACGUG
rnacentral:rRNA from 1 species